rnacentral:rRNA from 1 species
UAAGCCUACGGGACGCAGCAGUGGGGAGUAUUGCACAAUGGGGGAAACCCUGAUGCAGCGACGCCGCGUGAGCGAUGAAGUAUUUCGGUAUGUAAAGCUCUAUCAGCAGGGAAGAAAAUGACGGUACCUGACUAAGAAGCCCUGGCUAACUACGUGCCAGCAGCCGCGGUAAUACGUAGGGGGCAAGCGUUAUCCGGAUUUACUGGGUGUAAAGGGAGCGUAGACAGUCCUGCAAGCCAGAUGUGAAAGCCCGGGGCUCAACCCCGGGACUGCACUUGGAACUGUAAGGCUAGAGUGUCGGAGAG